rnacentral:rRNA from 1 species
AUACGUAGGGGGCGAGCGUUGUCCGGAAUGAUUGGGCGUAAAGGGCGCGUAGGCGGCGCGGUAAGUCUGGAGUGAAAGUACUGCUUCCAAGGUGGGAAUUGCUUUGGAUACUGCCGCGCUUGAGUGCAGGAGAGGUUAUCGGAAUUCCCGGUGCAGCGGUGAAAUGCGUAGAGAUCGGGAGGAACACCAGUGGCGAAGGCGGGUAACUGGACUGCAACUGACGAUGAGGCGCGAAAGUGUGGGGAGCAAACAGGAUUAGAUACCCUGGUAGUCCACACUGUAAACGAUGAAUGCUAGGUGUAAGAGGUAUCGACCCCUUUUGUGCCGGAGUCAGCACAAUAAGCAUUCCGCCUGGGGAGUACGGCCGCAAGGUUGAAACUCAAAUGAAUCGACGGGG